UGCCUACAUAAUAUUUGUAUUCUCUUUGGUUAUCUGGCAACACUAAACACAUACGUCAAAAUUUCCCUAGCUAGGAAUAAAAAAAAAAGUCAAUGAAGUAAGCAUGGUGUAGAAUACGAAAACGAAAAUUCUAUUCUUUAUUUGUUAAUCGAUGUUUUAGAGAAAAAUCAAGAAAUGGCUAAUUUAAAAGAAAUAUAUGAAAAGACCGCAGAUUAUACUGCGUUCUAUACUGGCGGAGAUAUACAGUGGACUAAUGACGGUGCUCAUCUACUAUGCUUAUGUGAGGACACAAUAAAAGUUGUUGAUGUAAACACAUUAUCUGAGGUUCUUGUAAUAGGCCAAGGAGCAGAUGAUGAAGAAGUUGACCAAAUUUACACAUUUAGAAUAUGUCAUAAUAAUGAAAAGAUUGUUAGUGCUCAUAAAAGUGGACUAAUCAAACUGUGGGAUCGAGAAACAGGUAAACAAGAGAAGGUUUGGAGAUCGGGCCACAAAGGACCAGUUGCAAAAUUAGCUUUCGACAAAGCAAAUGAAAAUUUAGCUUCUGGUGGCUCAGAUGGCAAUAUUAGGCUAUGGGACUUAGCUCAUAACACAUGCACUAGUAGUUUGAGAGGUGCCAUGGGAGUUUUUUCAGUAUUACAAUAUCAUCCCGAUACUGAUAAACAAUUAAUUUUUGGAGCAGCAGAUGACACAAAAAUCAGAUCUUGGCAUUCUAGAACUGGCAAAGAACAUCAAGUAUAUUCAGGACAUUUUAGCAAAAUCACUUCUUUACAAUUUACAUCUGAUGGUGAACACAUGGUUAGUUCUGGUAGAGAUCGAGUUCUUAUAUUAUGGAAAGUAAAUGAAAGCAAAGCUCUUAGAGUUUUACCAGUUUAUGAAGGUAUUGAAGAUACUUUUUUAUUGCCUUUCACAUUUAAAAUACCCAAUUUUACAAAAAAGGCAGAAACAGAAGGAGUUUAUGUAGCUUGUGCAGGUGAAAAAGGUAUUGUCAAAAUAUGGAAUUUAUCUAUAAGCCGUCUUAUGUACGAACAAAAUAACAGCUUGGUCUCUGCAGCAUCAGAAGAAGGUGGAUUGGCGAUUACUCACCUAAUGUUUAAUGAAGUCAGAAAUGUCUUGGCUGUAGUAACUGCUGAUCACAACAUCAUUUUACAUGACCUUGAAACAUUUAGUUUUGUUAAACAAAUGAUUGGUUUCACUGAUGAAGUCCUAGACAUAAUUUUUGUUGGCAAAGAUGAGAAACAUAUUGUUGUGGCAACAAACAGUCAAGAUCUCAAAUGUUAUGAACUAGAUAGCAUGGAUUGUCAUUUAAUCAAAGGUCAUACUGAUAUUGUACUUUCCUUAGCCUGCUUCCCUACAAAGCCAGAAAUGUUUGUAUCUUCUAGUAAGGACAAUUCAGUUAGGAUAUGGCUCCAAACCGAAGAAAACAAAAUUGUAUGCCUAGGUGUUGGCACUAGACACACUGCUUCUGUUGGCUCAGUUUUUGCGUCACAAACAUCAAGCAAAUUUUUUACCUCAGUUAGUCAAGAUAACUGUUUAAAAAUCUGGACUGUUCCCAAUGAUGAAGAAUCAUUAAAUAAUAAAUUAAAAUCAAGUCAUACUGAGUUAGCACAUCAAAUGGACAUUAACUGUGUUGCUGUAUCACCUAAUGAUAAAAUGAUUGCUACUGGUUCCCAAGACAAAACAGCAAAAUUAUGGACAGACGACCUGAGCCUUUUGGGUGUCUUAAAAGGCCACAGAAGAGGCAUUUGGUGUGUGAGAUUUUCACCUGUUGACCAAGUAGUUCUUACAUCUUCAGCUGAUUGCCUAAUAAAGCUUUGGUCUAUAGCUGAUUUGAGCUGCUUAAAAACAUUUGAAGGACAUGAAAGUUCUGUGCUUAAAAUUGAGUUCCUCAGUAGAGGACAGCAAAUAAUCUCGAGUGGUGCAGAUGGCUUACUAAAAUUGUGGAAUAUAAAAACAUCAGAUUGUAAAAUGUCUCUAGAUAAUCAUGACGGUAAAAUAUGGUCUCUAGCAGUUAUGAAAGAUGAAUCAAUGAUUAUUACAGGAGGCUCGGAUUCAAAAUUAGUUAAAUUAAAAGACGUAACUUUAGAAAAACGAGAACAAAUGGCUAAAGCCCGAGAAGAAAUGAUUUUACAAGAGCAAGAGUUAAUGAACUUAUUGCAUGAUAAAAAGUUAAUCAAAGCACUAAAAUUGGCUUUACGUAUGGAAAGACCAAUGCAUGUCUUGAAAAUAGUCAAUGAAAUUUUAAAGGGCGGAAAUGAGAAACUAUAUUCCACUUUAAAAGAGAUAAACCAUACACAAAAGAAACAUUACUAAAAUCUGCUGCAGAGUGGAACACAAACAACAAAAAUUGUCAUGCUGCUCAGCUGGUAUUCCAUAUAUUAGCACCAGAAAUUAUUUCAGGUAAACUUAAAGUUCCGGCGCUAGGAAGUUUCAUCGAAGGAGCGCUACCAUACACGGAACGUCAUUUCGAAAGGUUAACAAAUCUUUGCAAGAUUUAAAUUUCAUCACGUAUACAGUAAAUUGUAUGCAACCGGCUCUAAAAAUGUAUAAAUGAAUUAUUCAAAUAAAAAAUAUUUGCCUUA